GAAAAAAAGGUUGGAUUCAUUCUGUAGUAGGUCGAAUUCGAAAAUAAACAUUCGGCAAAUGAGUUUCUGAACUUAAAGGUACUCAAGAUCUACUGAUUCAAGUACGAGAUGGCUGGACUGAGAAUUAUGACCUGGUUUUUCGUGUUUGUAAUUGGAGAAGUAAUGAAAAUCAACGCACUAAGUGUUUUCUACAUCGAAAUGCUGGAAAACAAUGAUGCACUCGAAAGAACACUAGUGGAGGAAUCCAUUCAGAUCGUCAAUAAGAAGUUGCUGGCAAACACGACCAUGAUWAAACUAAGCCUUCAAAACAACACCCAACGUCCUAAUGACGACAUCUCUA